rnacentral:rRNA from 1 species
AUGACGAUGGUGAUGAUCACGAGCAUGAGGAGGAGCAGAACUUAUAUACUCAGUGGCGCCUGGCAACUAAUUCCGAUGGAUCACCUCUUCUUGUCUGUAUACAGUGCACUCGGAUUGUUACUACUGAAGGAAGUAGGUGUUGUCUCCCAUGGUCGCCCUCUCCGGACCUAUUCCAACACCCGUUGCAUGGUAUUCAGGAUGGAUACUAGUGUGCUAGCGCCAACACCUUCUCCCUGGUUCAUUAUUGAUAGUCUUGGAGCAAACUCGCUCUUCCUUGGACCAAACUAUCCAAUGAUGGUGAAAUGCGAUCCAGCUGCUGUUAACACAACGUUACUACCAUUUAUGAGAAGCAACUGUAUCUAUACCCCGGACAUUUCGGUGGUUUCCUACCCUGGUCCUGAUAUAUGCCGCUUCAGCCUGGAUGAUCAGUCAUGUGUUGCUCUCGAUAUUGACAAUAGCUGGCCCUUCCCAGAGCACCUAUGGUUCAAAGCAAGCGUUUCCAACGCCGAGGAUUGGUUGAGUUGA